rnacentral:rRNA from 1 species
CACGUAGGGGGCAAGCGUUGUCCGGAUUUAUUGGGCGUGAAGAGCUCGUAGGUGGCUUAGUAAGUCGGGUGUGAAACCUCCAGGCUCAACCUGGAGACGCCACCCGAUACUGCUAUAGCUUGAGUCCGGUAGGGGAGCGUGGAAUUCCUGGUGUAGCGGUGAAAUGCGCAGAUAUCAGGAGGAACACCAGCGGCGAAGGCGGCGCUCUGGGCCGGUACUGACACUGAGGAGCGAAAGCGUGGGGAGCAAACAGG